UACAGAGGGGGCAAGCGUUGUUCGGAAUUACUGGGCGUAAAGGGCGCGUAGGCGGCCUUCUAAGUCGAACGUGAAAUCCCCGGGCUCAACCCGGGAACUGCGUCCGAUACUGGAAGGCUUGAGUUCGGGAGAGGGAUGCGGAAUUCCAGGUGUAGCGGUGAAAUGCGUAGAUAUCUGGAGGAACACCGGUGGCGAAGGCGGCAUCCUGGACCGACACUGACGCUGAGGAGCGAAAGCCAGGGGAGCAAACGGG
rnacentral:rRNA from 1 species